rnacentral:rRNA from 1 species
UACGUAGGGUCCGAGCGUUGUCCGGAAUUAUUGGGCGUAAAGGGCUCGUAGGCGGUCUGUCGCGUCGGGAGUGAAAACUUACAGCUUAACUGUGAGCGUGCUUUGGAUACGGGCAGACUUGAGGCAUUCAGGGGAGAACGGAAUUCCUGGUGUGAGCGGUGAAAUGCGCAGAUAUCAGGAGGAACACCGGUGGCGAAGGCGGUUCUCUGGGAAUGUCCUGACGCUGAGGAGC